CACAUCAGCCACAUCAUAGCCACAUCAGCCACAUCACAGCCACGUCACCACAACCCCAUGCAACCCCACAACGCACAUCAGCUGUAAGCCACCACCAGCCUAGCCGCCCAUCGUCACCCACAUACAGAAGAAAGAACACAUCCAGCUCUGCCAGGUCGCAGUCGCCAAAUCCACCUCCCGUCAACGAGGCCCGGAUGAACUUUUAUCUGAUGGCUGACUUCGUAUUCAAAUCCGGCAAAAAUCUUCAUUUACAGAAUACGAAAAUUCAAACAAUACCUUCAUUUUUUGUUUGCAGCUCAUCCCGAAAAUCUAUGGGACUUCAGAAUAUUUGGCAGGAUAUGAAGUCCCUCGCUGAACAUGCAAGUCUGUUGAAUGCUUCAUCAGAAAUUUUAAUCUCAAUUCGCAAAUCCUGUGAUUUGUGAAUUUUGGAAGCGUAAAUACAUCCUACUUCUGGCGGCUUGCGACUUUGCGACACUGGCAUCAACUUUUCCUGUAUUCAAUAUAACAACCGAUUCACAACAUCGAGCAUCCGUUGAUCUUACCUCAGCAUUCUGAACACUAGCAAUCCCCACGCACAAUAUUCUUCUUCACGAAAAAAAUCAAGAUCUCGUCAGAUUUGGGAUCCUAAACGGCGACAAGCGAAUACAGAGACGUCGAGAAGAUUUUGCUCGUGGACUUGGUUGGGCUUGGCGAUGCGAAAAGGCCAAGAACAUCUGGCUGGCCUUGGUACUCAAAUCGGGCGGCCAGGCGGCCGAAAAGAUCUGCUGGACUCGUGCCGGGCGGCCAGGCGGCUAAGAAAAUCUGCCUCGACGACUCGACUGGAGCCGGGCGGCCAGGCAGCCACGAAGAUGUGCCUCGACGACUCGACUGGAGCCGGGCGGCCAGGCGGCCACGAAGAUGUGCCUCGACGACUCGACUGGAGCCGGGCGGCAAGGCAGCCAAGAAAAUCUGGCCCAAUGGCAAUGUCUGGCCUGGAGAUUCGACUCAUAUUCUCGGCAUGCACCUCGAAGAAGAUUUGCGUCUCUCGCGCUGUCCAAAAUUCAAUCCCUGGAUUGGAACGUCCUCUCGCAGUCAUCUUACAAAUUGAUCUAUUGCCGAGCCUCGCAUGGGUGAAGAGAGUGGAGCGCGAUCCUGCUCCGUUGUUCAACUUCAAUUUCAUUUGACUAGAUCAGUGAUCUUGACCAUUUUUACCAUUCAAUUUUUCCCAAUUUAAUCAUUUUAUCCAUAAUUUUUUUGUUACUAUUUAAUUGUUAACGGGCAAAAGGGAUGUUAUGAACUUUUUUCACGUAUUCUACCUGCUUUGUAGCUGUGAAAGAACUUGUUGAUAAUUUCAAUUAACAUAAUCGUUACACUGAUUUCAUAACAUUUAACUCGACACUUUAUUAAAAAUAGAGAAUGUUGAUCUUGCUUUCUGUAGCCACGAGUCUACUGACCUGGCAGUAUCUUCGUUCAAAAACAGCCUUUUUCGGCCUAAUCUUUAUUUUUUUAUUCUUAGAAAAUACGUGCUUUGUCGGCAAUUUGAUAUUUGUUAGUGGCUGAAGUAAACACAAUUGGACGUUCAAGUUAGACACCGACUACAGCAUUAGAAAAAAUACUUUAGAGAAAUACAUACUCGAGAAAUAUAUACUAAUUGGCAUGCCAUAUAUCUUGAGCUUAUAUUGCACAGGUACGAGUGCUGAAUAUCAUUUCUGCUCCAAUAAUAUGAGGAUGUUACAAAUGUCACUGCCUCAUAAAAUACUCUGACAAAAUGAGUGUAUGUGUAUAGUUGUAUGAGUAAGUUUUUUGUAUAUUUUGUACAACUUGUAAAUUAAUGAGCAAAUUUUCAUGAAUUAUGGUGUUACAACUCGCUGAUGAGGUUCACGGUAAAUUUGUUAAUAUUAAAUAAAUUCCUUGAGAGUAGCAUUUCACCAAGUGAGCAUUAUUUUCUCUUAGAGUAGCUUUCACGUAGUUCGAGGGAAAUGAUAGGAAUUUAAACUCCAGUUGCAUGAAAAUUCACAUAAGCAACAAAUUCAGAGGAAGUCCGGUACACCACGAUGAACGCUGUAAUAUAUACCAUAAAUAUACCUUCGCAACCUUGUUGCGUUGCCUUGUUGUAUACCUUGUUAUGAAUAUAAUAAUUAUACGGGACAUUAUCCAUAUUUUUACUUUCCGAAUCAUUUGACGACUCCUGUGUAUGUGCUCAGUUAUUUACACCUUUCCAAGUUUGCUCUCUGUACGAUGAAAAUUUAUGAACCUAAUUCAUUCAAAAUGAAGACUAAAGUUAUUGAAAGAAAAAAUUAAUUCAGAGCUUUUAUUUCUCGUUGCCGCAGUUCAUACCGGAGAUUUGACAUUGGCUUGGCUAGUCCUUAAUUCAAUAGCAAUCAUAAAUCAAGAAACUAAUCUCAAAUUUGUAAAUACUGAAAAAUUAUUUAAAUUUUAUUGCUCGUAUGUGGGUAAAAUCUUCGAAACAACGCAUCACAUAAAUUUUUAAUUUUCCUCGAGCGUGUGGGUGACGGUGUUUCAAACAAUUAUAAUUAUUUAUUUUAAGAUGGAAAUUAUGUACAAAAAUUAAGCUAUUUUGACGCGACUUUGUACAUGCAUGCGUCCAUAUCAUCUCCGAUAUGUUAAAUGUAUUUUUUACAUGUAAAUUGAAGGAAACUACGUAAAAUAAGGGAAACUCGAAGGUUUCAUCUUUUAAAGGAACUAUCAUCCAAGAAAUAAAAAGUUCAUGUUUGUAUUUCAUGAAAAAAUCGAAUUUAAUUGAGGGAUAUUUCCACGUGGUGCAUAGCAUUUUUUUAAUCCUAUUUUUGUGUAUCCGAAAACUUUUAUUGUCGUUAAAAUUUAAGUAUUAAAAAUUUGCAAUUAUACAACAAUUAACAUUUUUUGCUACGUGCGUUUUUUUUAAUUCAUAGGAGCGAACAUGCAAGUAAAUGCUUAAUGUAUUUAUUUUGAAGUAACUCUCUUUGAAGAAUUUUUCGAAGUAACUCUCGCACUCUGCAGAAUUUUUCCAACGCUUAUGAAUUUUUCUAAAAAUAAUUUAAUUUGAAGUCUGUACUUUUUUGGCAUUACUUUUACGUAAACCUGUAGCUGAAAGUAAUUAAAGAAGUUCCCCAUCCAGAUCAGUUCGAGUAAAACACUUCUAUAUUCGCGAUUGAAAAGAUCAGGCUAUCGUAUCAAUCAACUGUGAGCUUCCUGAGACAACACUCAAAUAACUGAGGACAAUUUGAGCGCCUUUACUUCUUUUAUGUUCCUGAAUGGUGCCAGAAAUUGCAUGGCAGUAUUGCUAAUUAGUUGCUAAUUACUCAUCUUAAUCUUUAUCAGAUAAUCAUGAUUCGAAUAAUCCUCGAACUUUUUAAUUAUUUUUAUGGUUUUUAACUUUUUUAAAAAAACUGUGGAUAAGAAGGGUGGUAAAUUUGCAUGAACAACAGGGGUUAAUGAACUGUAUAAGAUAAAUUCAUUGAAAUAUGCUAGACUUGUCACAAUUUAAAUAUGUACAAUCUCAUGCUAUUUCAUAUUUAUCAUUUAAUUACUAGCUAUGUAUGGCAAUGCUUCAAGUAAACCUAUGAGCGUACCUAUAUGUACAUUAUGAGAUAUCAAGUGAACUUAACAUUUAAUCCUGCAAAUAUCAGUAAUGUAAUCAGUAUCUUUCAAGAUUUGGUAAUAGCGCUGUUUAAUUAAUAGAAUCCGUAUCUUUUAAGAACUUUGUAAUAGCGCUGUUUUAUGGGUAAACGUUGCACAAUUAAAGAGUGAUAGCAAGGUUCCUGUACAUGGAUAUUCCCAACACAAAGUUGACAUUAACAAUGUACCAUAUAUUGCUAGCAUAUAUGUACCAUAUAUAGUUAGCAUAUAUGCACCAUAUAUUGCUUGCAGUCCUGUGUAUAUGUUUUAGCUUGGCCCUGUUAUUUAUUAUUGCUUAGCAUAGAAUAUUUGUGCUCUCGUACGUGUACGUGUCGGUCUUCUUUGAAGCUUAUCAUGUUUUUUGCAGUGAACUAGCGGUAUUAAUAGCAUAUGUUUAAAUGGCAAUGUGUUUGUGGACAUGCUUGUAUUGGAUCCAACAUAUUUUCUGAUAAUGCCGUGAAGGCAAAUUACCUACUCGUUAUAACUGACUAUAGGUCAGUUGGUCAUCUCAUAUCUUAAUGGUAAGCUCUCCCAAUGAUGAGAAAAACUCGUUCAUGAU